GUUGAACCUCAUCCGGUCAACCCUAUCGUGGUGUUGGCCAACCUGUGAUGGGCUUUAUAAGUGCCAUCAAUAUAGUAUAUCCCUUGUGUGAUAUUGUAGCUUAAUCAACCUAAUCUAACCUGAAAAUGAUGGAUAUGCUAUAGCACCUUGGUUGAGGUUAUUGAUUGCCAGUUCUGGAGUAGUGACUACUACAGGAUUAGAUUGUGAUGGUCAUAGCAUCAUGUAGAGCUAGUGCUCGCCAUAUUCAACCAUCUGGCAUUGAUCUUCGGGAUAGAAUAUCUGCUGCCUUGUUAAUAAGAAUGCUCACAUGGCCCAGAACCCAUAUAAGGUUGAUCAGUAGCACCAUUCUCUAAAGGUGGGUCAAAAUCUGCAAUACUUAUACUGCACAUGCUGCCAAUACAUGUGAAGAUCUUUAAGCAUGAAGAGACUCAAUGAAGAUUGUGAUUUGACCAAUAUGGUCCUUGAUGAUGAUGAUGGCAAUUCUGAGUCCAUCACUUCUGCCAAAAACUGAAUUGAGGAAAUGGAAAUGUUGCUGAUAAUUAUACUCAGAGAUGAUUAUUCUAUUGAUGUUUGAGAUGCUGUUUUUGAUACACCCAUGCUGACUAACAGAAUUUAUUUAUAAAUUCCAUCAUAUGUUGCCCAAUUCCUGUACAUAAAGUGUAAAUUUGCCAUAAAGUGACUGUGAUAAGCUUUUGAUGAGAGGCCAAGAAGUUGGAAGGCUAAAUCUUGUCCAAAAUCCUGUGAUGUGUGAUACCCCCACACUGGGGGUGGUGAGGAAUAUUGUGUGAUGUCAGUGAUUCAGAAAUUAGUGUCCAGUAUCCAUUGGGAUGAUAUGAUUUAUAUAAUUUCUGGAACCAAGGCCAACAAUAGAAGUCCAAGUAUUUUGUCUACUGCAAGUGCUCUGAUAGCAGGGACCAAUGGGAUCAUGAGAGAUGUUGAAAAUACAAACAAACUGCCUGGAGAUGGAUACUUAUCUUUAGAGGGAAAUACAGUAAGUGAUAGAAUAGCAUGAGGAAAUCUUAAGACAAUUUGCAAGACUGCCUGAUAAGGUGGAUAAAGCUCUUCAGCAUGGUUGAGAAUGUUGCUGCAAAUAACAGUGAUAAUUUUCCCCUAAAUUCAGUGGCACACCCAUAUUAGCAAAAAAAACCCGGAUAUGACUUCUGGCUCCUCAGUUAUUUAGAAUACAUCUAGUAUCAGAAAAACAAGAUAAGACUAUAAAAAUUGACCAACAGCA
rnacentral:lncRNA from 1 species